rnacentral:piRNA from 1 species
UACAAAGCUCAGGUAACAGAGUGGGUGGC